rnacentral:lncRNA from 1 species
UGUGUGAUGGAUUUGAAUUCAAUCAAUAACUUUGAAAUGUUUUCUCAUAUGUAUACACAAAAGGGAGGACUGGUAUUUGUACUUCUGUUAGAAUAUGUCGUCGUCCGUUUCACAUGCCAAUUUUUUUUCUAGUAAAGUUUAAACGGGAAAAUUUUGUUGAGAAUUUGUUUUAAUAUGACAAAAUAACGAGCAAAACUAUUUCUUUCACUGGCACACACAGAGAACAUUUCCGUACAUUAAAUCUUUAAAUCUUAGGACGGUCAGAACAUUUUAAGGACGCAACAGAUCGACGUACAAUUUUAAGUAGUACAUAGAUGUUCAAUAAUUCAGCUUCCUGUACAUGUUCAUGAAGUUUUAAAUUCUUUAAAAAAC